UGGCGAGUGUGCAGUGUUGGGGGAGGGCGUUUGCUGGCAGAGUCAAGGAGAGGUUGAGGAGGCUGUGAGGAGGAAGGAAGAGGGACGAGGCAGUGCCUGCUGACACUGAGAUGGGUGGGCUUCAGGGCUCAUGUUCCGCCGAGGGCAUCAGGAGGCACUCGAGGUGUGAAUGGUUUGAUUAGGCUGAGGUGGAAUCUGAAGACAGAAAAUAAAGCGGAGCUGUCUGAGCUCUGGGAAUGAGGGGCAGGUAAAGGCUGGGUACAGACAACCAGGACCCCAGGGGAACAGGCCAUAGGAGGUGGUGGGGAUGGAGAAGGACCUGAAACCUGCCAGAGGAGCAGAAAACAGGGAAAGGGUGAGGUACCCAGUCCAGGACAACACGCAAAGAGUGAGUCAGUGGGAGACUCAGGGAACAGCUGAAAGUCACAUGGGGAAGUUUGCAGCAGCUGAGCCCAGCAGGUAGUGACCAGCCAGAGCCAUUGUGGUGCAUGAUGCACUCUGGGCGAGACAAGGAGGACCAUCACUGAGCCACCACGUGCGCCACUCCGCAACAGAUCUUCUUCCUACCCCCUGUCCUUCUUCCACCAGAUCUCUGCUGAUAAGAAAAGCCUGGGGAGGUUCUGUGGGCAACUGGGUUCUCCACUGGGCAACCCCCCGGGAAAGAAGGAAUUUAUGUCCCAAGGGAACAAGAUGCUGCUGACCUUCCACACAGACUUCUCCAACGAGGAGAAUGGGACCAUCAUGUUCUACAAGGGCUUCCUGGCCUACUACCAAGCUGUGGGUGAGUAGCCCCCCAGGGAUCCCUUUUCUCUGACCUCAGCCAUAUUGAAUGGGGGGCCAAGAAAGGGAAUCUUGAAUGCAAAGAAGCCGAAAGCCUGGCUUUCCUUGUUCCUCCCCUCGAGAGAGCUUUUCCUAACGAGGCCUGUCAACCUGGGCUCUGUCCCCAUGGAGCAGUCCCCAGAGAGCAUUGGAGAGGCCUGGAGGUCCAGGUGGCCUAAAGAUGCCUUUGUCUUUAGGUCUCUGGUGAGUGACCUCCCUAAGAUCAGAGCCACUACUCAGGUCUCCCAGCAGAAGCUUAACCCUCCUUCCUGAAUGCCUUCCAGACCUUGAUGAAUGUGCUUCCCGGAGCAAAUCAGGGGAGGAGGAUCCCCAGCCCCAGUGCCAGCACCUGUGUCACAACUACGUUGGAGGCUACUUCUGUUCCUGCCGUCCAGGCUAUGAGCUUCAGGAAGACAGGCAUUCCUGCCAGGCUGAGUGCAGCAGCGAGCUGUACACGGAGGCAUCAGGCUACAUCUCCAGCCUGGAGUACCCUCGGUCCUACCCCCCUGACCUGCGCUGCAACUACAGCAUCCGGGUGGAGCGGGGCCUCACCCUGCACCUCAAGUUCCUGGAGCCUUUUGAUAUUGAUGACCACCAGCAAGUACACUGCCCCUAUGACCAGCUACAGGUACAGCCGUCCUACCCCUGAAAGACCCCUUCCUCCCCUUCUGUCUGCACUUGGCUCCUCUUGUCCCAACUUCCUCCUGGAUCCCCUGGCCAGCUGGGGCAGGAACGGCCAACAUCACCCAUGGGCUGGGUAAGUUCCCACACAACUAGAAUUGGGUCAUGGGGAUCCCUUUUCACCUUCCCCUGAAAACACACAUAAGGCAGGAUUUCAUCACCACCACCACCACCCUGGCCACCAGGCUACUACCCAGUUGGCCCUGUGUAAAAACGUCCAAGCU
rnacentral:lncRNA from 1 species